GAUGAACGCUGGCGGCGUGCCUAAUACAUGCAAGUCGAGCGAACAGGCGAGGAGCUUGCUCGUCUUGCGUUAGCGGCGAACGGGUGAGUAACACGUGGGUAACCUGCCUAUUUCAUCUGGAUAACCUCGUGAAACCGGGGCUAAUACCGGAUAAUCUAUUUCACUGCAUUGUCCGAUCGGGAAAGGCGGUUUUUCCGUCAGUUAUUGAUGGAGCCGCGUCGCAUUAUCUAGGUGGGAAGGUAGCGGCUUACCACGGCAACGAGGCGUAGCCGACCUGAGAGGGGGAUCGGCAACAUUGGACCUGGACCACGAUCCAGACUCCUACGGGAGGCAGCGGAGGGGAAUCUUCCACAGAGGGCGAAAGCCUGGCGGAACAACGCCGCGUGAGGGAUGAAGGUCUUCGGAUCGGAAAACUCUGUUAUUAGGGAAGAAAAACUGUGUAAGUAACUGUGGACGUCUUGACGGUACCUAGUCAGAAAGCCCCGGCUAACUACGUG
rnacentral:rRNA from 1 species